rnacentral:rRNA from 1 species
CAUCGCCUCUUGCCCUAUAAGUAUAAGAGGUCCCGCCUGCCCAGUGACUACGAGUUCAACGGCCGCGGUAUUAUGACCGUGCGAAGGUAGCGCAAUCACUUGUUUCUUAAAUGGAGACCUGUAUGAAUGGCUUCACGAGGGCUUAACUGUCUCCUCUUCCCAGUCAAUGAAAUUGAUCUUCCCGUGCAGAAGCGGGACUAGCACCAUAAGACGAGAAGACCCUAUGGAGCUUUAGGCACUAGGCAGCCCACGACACACGUCUGUUCAAACAGAACAAAACCGCGCGGCCCCUGUCCUGCUGCCUUUGGUUGGGGCGACCCCGGAGGAAAGAAUAGCCUCCAUGAGGAACGAGAGUACUACUCUCACAAGUCAGAGUUACCGCUCAAGUCAACAGAACUUCUGACCAGCCGAUCCGGCCUCGUGCCGAUCAACGAACCGAGUUACCCUAGGGAUAACAGCGCAAUCCCCUCUCAGAGACCCUAUCGACGAGGGGGUUUACGACCUCGAUGUUGGAUCAGGGCAUCCUAGCGGCGCAGCCGUCGUUAAGGGUUCGUUUGUUCAACGAUUAAAGCCCUACGUGA